AGCGGGACGGGUACGCCACCGUGGCGACGAUGCGUAGGGGUUCUGAGAGGAAGGUCCCCCACACUGGUACUGAGACACGGACCAGACUCCUACGGGAGGCAGCAG
rnacentral:rRNA from 1 species